UACGUAGGCAGCAAGCGUUGUUCGGAGUUACUGGGCGUAAAGAGUAUGUAGGCGGUUGGGCAAGUUUGGUGUGAAAUCUCCCGGCUUAACUGGGAGGGUGCGCUAAAGACUGCCUGGCUCGAGUGUGGGAGAGGAAAGCGGAAUUCCUGGUGUAGCGGUGAAAUGCGUAGAUAUCAGGAGGAACACCUGCGGUGUAGACGGCUUUCUGGACCAUAACUGACGCUGAGAUACGAAAGCGUGGGUAGCAAACAGG
rnacentral:rRNA from 1 species